rnacentral:misc_RNA from 1 species
CCAAUAGCGUAUAUUAAAGUUGUUGCAGUUAAAAAGCUCGUAGUUGAAUUUCGAGACCGGCUUACUGGUCGUGCUUUUGUGCGUACUGGUAUAAUCGGUUUCUCCUUUCUGACGAACUUUAAUGCCAUUAAUUUGGUGUUUUAGGGAAUCAGGACUGUUACUUUGAAAAAAUUAGAGUGUUUAAAGCAGGCUCACGCUUGAAUACAUUAGCAUGGAAUAACGGAAUAGGACGUUUGAUUCUAUUUUGUUGGUUUCUAGGAUCGACGUAAUGAUUAAUAGGGAUAGUUGGGGGCAUUAGUAUUAAAUUGUCAGAGGUGAAAUUCUUGGAUUUAUUGAAGACUAACUACUUCGAAAGCAUUUGCCAAGGAUGUUUUCAUUAAUCAAGAACGAAAGUUAGGGGAUCGAAGACGAUCAGAUACCGUCGUAGUCUUAACCAUAAACUAUGCCGACUAGGGAUCGGAUGAUGUUAAUUUUUUAAUGACUCAUUCGGCGCCUUACG